GCAGGCACUCGGAGCGCGCGGCUGCAGCAGAGGAGCCGGAGCCGGGAACCGGAGCCGGGAGCCGGAGCCGCGGCCGGAUCGCAGCCCGCGGGGCCCGCCGCAGCCAUGGGCAACCGCGGCAUGGAGGAUCUCAUCCCGCUAGUCAACCGGCUGCAGGACGCCUUCUCUGCUAUCGGCCAGAACGCGGACCUCGACCUACCGCAGAUCGCGGUGGUGGGCGGCCAGAGCGCCGGCAAGAGCUCGGUGCUCGAGAAUUUCGUAGGCAGGGACUUCCUGCCCCGAGGGUCAGGCAUUGUCACCCGACGGCCCCUGGUCCUGCAGCUGGUCAAUGCCACCACAGAAUAUGCCGAAUUCCUGCACUGCAAGGGGAAGAAAUUCACUGACUUCGAGGAGGUACGCCUGGAGAUCGAGGCUGAGACCGACCGGGUCACUGGCACCAACAAGGGCAUCUCGCCGGUGCCCAUCAACCUCCGCGUCUACUCGCCUCAGGUCCUGAAUCUGACACUGGUGGACCUACCCGGAAUGACCAAGGUCCCAGUGGGGGACCAACCUCCUGACAUCGAGUUCCAGAUCCGGGACAUGCUUAUGCAGUUCGUCACCAAAGAGAACUGCCUCAUCCUGGCUGUGUCCCCCGCCAACUCCGACCUGGCCAACUCUGAUGCUCUCAAGGUUGCCAAGGAGGUGGACCCCCAGGGUCAGCGCACCAUCGGGGUCAUCACCAAGCUAGAUCUGAUGGAUGAGGGCACAGAUGCCCGAGAUGUGCUGGAGAAUAAGCUCCUUCCCCUGCGCAGAGGCUACAUAGGGGUGGUAAACCGAAGCCAGAAGGACAUUGAUGGCAAGAAGGACAUCUCAGCUGCCUUGGCCGCUGAACGCAAGUUCUUUCUCUCCCACCCAUCCUACCGCCACUUGGCGGACCGCAUGGGCACACCCUACCUACAGAAGGUCCUCAACCAGCAACUGACCAACCACAUCCGGGACACACUGCCGGGGCUCCGGAACAGGCUGCAGAGCCAGCUACUGUCCAUUGAGAAGGAGGUGGAGGAGUACAAGAACUUCCGACCUGAUGACCCAGCACGCAAGACCAAGGCCCUGCUGCAGAUGGUCCAGCAGUUUGCUGUGGACUUUGAGAAGCGCAUUGAGGGCUCCGGGGACCAGAUUGACACCUAUGAACUGUCAGGGGGAGCCCGCAUCAACCGGAUCUUCCAUGAGCGCUUCCCCUUUGAGCUAGUCAAGAUGGAGUUUGAUGAGAAGGAGCUCCGGAGAGAGAUCAGCUACGCCAUCAAGAAUAUCCAUGGCAUUAGAACGGGGCUCUUUACCCCAGACAUGGCUUUUGAGACCAUUGUGAAAAAGCAGGUGAAGAAGAUCCGAGAACCGUGUCUCAAGUGUGUGGACAUGGUUAUCUCGGAGCUAAUCAGCACGGUUAGACAGUGCACCAAGAAGCUGCAGCAGUACCCCCGGCUUCGGGAGGAGAUGGAGCGCAUCGUGACCACCCACAUCCGGGAGCGUGAGGGUCGCACCAAGGAGCAGGUUAUGCUCCUCAUCGAUAUUGAGCUGGCGUACAUGAAUACCAAUCAUGAGGACUUCAUAGGCUUUGCCAAUGCUCAGCAGAGGAGCAACCAGAUGAACAAGAAGAAGGCUUCAGGGAACCAGGAUGAGAUUCUGGUCAUCCGGAAGGGCUGGCUGACCAUCAACAAUAUUGGCAUCAUGAAGGGGGGCUCCAAGGAGUACUGGUUUGUCCUGACCGCUGAGAAUCUGUCCUGGUACAAGGAUGACGAGGAGAAAGAGAAGAAAUACAUGCUCUCCGUGGACAAUCUGAAGCUACGGGACGUGGAGAAAGGUUUCAUGUCAAGCAAGCACAUCUUUGCCCUCUUUAACACUGAGCAGAGGAAUGUCUACAAGGAUUAUCGGCAGCUGGAACUGGCCUGUGAGACGCAAGAGGAGGUGGAUAGCUGGAAGGCCUCUUUCCUGCGGGCUGGCGUAUAUCCUGAACGCGUUGGGGACAAGGAGAAAGCCAGCGAAACAGAGGAGAAUGGCUCAGACAGCUUCAUGCACUCCAUGGACCCACAGCUAGAGCGGCAGGUGGAGACCAUCCGGAACCUGGUAGACUCAUACAUGGCCAUCGUGAACAAGACCGUGCGUGACCUCAUGCCGAAGACCAUCAUGCAUCUCAUGAUCAACAAUACGAAGGAAUUCAUCUUCUCGGAGCUGCUCGCCAACCUGUACUCGUGCGGGGACCAGAACACACUGAUGGAGGAGUCGGCGGAGCAGGCGCAACGGCGCGACGAGAUGCUGCGCAUGUACCACGCACUGAAGGAGGCGCUCAGCAUCAUCGGCGAUAUCAACACGACCACUGUCAGCACGCCCAUGCCCCCGCCCGUGGACGACUCCUGGCUGCAGGUGCAGAGCGUACCGGCCGGACGCAGGUCACCCACGUCCAGCCCCACGCCGCAGCGCCGAGCCCCCGCCGUGCCCCCAGCCCGGCCCGGGUCGCGGGGCCCUGCUCCUGGGCCUCCGCCUGCUGGGUCCGCCCUGGGGGGGGCGCCCCCCGUGCCCUCCAGGCCGGGGGCUUCCCCUGACCCCUUCGGUCCUCCCCCCCAGGUGCCCUCGCGCCCCAACCGCGCCCCGCCCGGGGUCCCCAGGGAAAGACCUGGUCUUGGCUUCCCCCACCUCAGUCCUCCAGAAGGGCACUCUGCUCUAGGAACCAAGCUACCUGAAGAAUGGGGAAGAGGACCCAAAGCAGGCCUUUCCUGGGAAGGAAGUUACCCAACUAGAAGCCUCACCCUACUCCUGCAGGUGAAAAGAAAAACAUGGCUACUACACCCACCCCAACCUCCUAGCUCCAAAACACCUACCAACCAGGAACCAAACUGAGAAACCAGAGGUAAGAUGCCUGCCCUCUGACUCUUGGUAUCCUGGAGAACGAUCCUGGAACGGGACACAAGGAGCCACAGAGAAACUGCUCCCUCUUCCCCACCUGAACCCACUUGCUUGACGAGGGCCCUACCCAGCCUCCAUCCAGGCUCAGGUCUGACACACUCAGUCCAAGCACCUGGCUCUACAGAUCUAAUGUCUGAUGAUGAGUAAAGAUAAGUGGAGAGAUGGGGAAGAUGGCUGAUAAGCUCAAGUUUGAAGAGGGGAGCACUAGGGAGCACGAGGCCAGGAGCGGGAGGAAGAGGCCACACGUGUGUCUGUCUGUCUGUCUCUCUCUCAGCCCAGGGCUGGCUGCUUUCUGGAUGCAUCUGCUGCCCUCCUCAGACUCUGUGUCCAGGAUCCUGCAACCACAAGCCAGCAUUGCCGGGACAGAAAACUUAAGUGGGAAACAAUCACUGAUAGAAGAUUGGAUCUAAAAACCACAAGAGUUGGGAUCCCUGGGUGGCUCAGCAGUUUAGUGCCACCUUCCACCCAGGGCAUGAACCUGGAGUCCCGGAUCGAGUCCCACAUCGGGCUCCCUGCAUGGAGCCUGCUUCUCCCUCUGCCUAUGUCUCUGCCUCUCUCUCUCUCUCUAUCAUGAAUAAAUAAAUUAAAAAAAAACCCCACAAGAGUAAUCUGGGUUUUCCUUUCCAGGACAAUAGAGGGAUGCGGGCAGCGGGCACAGAAUCCUAGAACUCAGUGCAAAUACGAGCUUCAGGACUGCCCUAGGCCUAGGCUCCCCUCCUCCCUGUGCCUCUCAGCAGCUCCUCUGAGCCCACACGAUGAGUCACAGCACCUAGACAGACCCGACUACCCAGGCGUGAGCAGUCCCUGGGAGUGAAAGCCUCUAACACCAGCACCCAGGGCUCUGUCCCCUGCUCUCUCUCCAUGCCCAUCUCUUACUGGACGUGGCUGCGUUUCAGCCCUACGCCCCUGGCCUGGCCAGUGUCCCAGGAGGAAGUACCAAUGUCAUGUCCAGAGAACCCACCCAGGCUCCCUGCCUUUCUGGGAGAUACUCUGUGAGCUCAUAAUGCAGACUGUUACCUGCAUUCCACCCUCCGGCUGCCUGGGAUUCCCCUUCCCCCACUCUCCAUAUGGAUGAAUGCUACCCGCCUCUAAUCUUCCCAUCAGUCUUAAGUUCUUUUAGAACCAACCUUACCCUCAGUUAAGCACCUGGAAUGUUGCCACAUCUUACCUUGCUUCUUGCAGCAGGGUCUCUGCCUCCCUAAGUAUGCAUUCAACCUGGUUUACCUCUUUUUCUUGAGCACCUAGCCAACUGCCUCUCCUAGCAAGGACCCAUUGAAUACACAGCCCAGUGUUGAACUGAUUUUUGAGAAUAGGGGCAGGGCGGGAUGUCCUGGUCACUCAUGUUUGGUUAACUUCACAUGCUUUCCAGUUAAUUCCUCUGAAAAAAUAACCUCAGUCCUUGUAACUAUAACACACACUCCCUUUGUCUUAACCCUACACUACCUACUCUCCAACCAAAAUGAACUAAUCCAAUUCAAAAAAAGGACAAACUGCUAUGCAGUCUAUUCAUCUUUUGGGGGACAGGUGCCCAAAGGGCAAGUAUGAAGGUUUGCUUUUAUUUAAUCCAAAUCUGACGCGCCACUGGGUAUUCAUACCCAAGUCUAGAAAAAGCCAAAUCCCACACACCUGCUCUGGAAGCUUUCCCAAGUUACCUUUAAACUUCAAGAUGUGUCUCACAUCUUCUUCAAAAUGAUAAAAGAUGUGGGGGAAGGAAAAAAACCCAAUCAACCAAGCAGGUGAAAAAAAAAGCAGACAUGAACAGGCUGAGGGUUAAUGACAGCAACAUAAAAUAAGCCAGAGGCAAAGUAUUCCCCCAAACCAGAGAAGCCUUGGGGCAUGCACAGCUGGGAGAGAGCAAGCCAGAGAGGGGGUUCGGCACUG